GCCAUGGCUCAGCGGUAGAACAUCUGCUUUGCAUGGAGAGGGUCCCUGGUUCAAUCCUUGGUAUCUCCA